AUAAAUGCAGCCUUGGUGAGCAGAAGAGACUUUUUAAAAACCUGGCCCAGUCUCAGUCUUUUGAAGGGUAGUGUAUAUGUUAAAGCGUGAGGUUUGGUGAUGUUGGCAGUUCUGUGUGGUGCUGCUUGUUAACUGCUUUCCAACAUUCUGCCAAAUCCCCAUCAACAUCCCUAAUAUCAGCUCCUGUAGGCAUCCAGACCUCCCUGAAGCAGAAAGCACACCACCGGGGCUCAUGGGAACUGUAGGCAUAUGACACAUCAAAACCUGAGGCUUUUUCACGGAUGGAUGAAGCACUUUUUAAUUUCUCCCACUGUCUGUGUGAUCUGGGGAUGAGAGGCUGUGUGGAAGGGCAGGCAGAGGUCAUGGGCGGCUGUCAGGUGAUGCUGUGCUGAACCAGCACCAGAGCUCUGUCACCCUACACCAUGAGGAACAAGGAGUUAUUUGUGCUUGACUGAGUGCGAUUCGUUAAGCGUACAGAUAUAAAGUCACAGGCUGUGUUGAAACAUGAAUUAAUCAGUUGGAAUGCUGUUUUGAGUGGAUGAGUCUUGAUUUUGAUUUAAGCAAUGGCAAGUACCAAUUAAAAACGAAGCAAUCAAACUUAUGACAGGCUAAUUAGAUGAGUUGAAACAGAAUAUUUUGUGCCAAGUGUAAUUUUUCUAACAUAAAAUGCUUGACUGUUGAAGGAUAUGAAUGUGUUUAGUUUGAAUUAAAUCCAGAUAACAAUCUUACAAGAGCAAAAAGUCAAUCAGACCCAAGCAAAUUGAAAUAUAGGAGCAUAAAAUAACACAUUUGCAUGUGUAAAUUUGUUUACA